AGGGAACAGCAGCCCUUUGUCUCGUAACGGUCCCUGACACCGCCUCUCCGACUUCUAAGAGCACACGGGUUUUUCCGGAAUCUUCCAAAAGAUGCUAGAACUUUUCUGAAGACCCCCCGUGGGGCUGUCGAGGAUGUUGCUAUCUCUACAAUAGCCGGAGAAGACGAAACAAGUUUUGCAAUGCACACGGACUGGCUCAGUUGUGAAUGUCACAAAUGCUCCCCUAACGAGGAUCAAAUCAAUGAAAGGAUGGCCUUGAUAAAUAAUAUUCAUGAGGCGACGAGGAAGUACCCAUACAUGAUGAGCUUUGAGAGGGUAAGUACGUUUGCUACUAUGUAUGAAACAGCAUUUACAUUAACUUAGCCUGCAUGGUUGUAGAGGCGGCUGCAUUCAAAAAGAACUAGAGCUUUUGUAAAUGGUUUAAAAACUAAUUUUAAUGCACACACAUGUUCUAGUGUACUAAA